rnacentral:misc_RNA from 1 species
GAAAUGCGAUAAGUAAUGUGAAUUGCAGAAUUCAGUGAAUCAUCGAAUCUUUGAACGCACAUUGCGCCCGCCAGUAUUCUGGCGGGCAUGCCUGUUAGAGCGUCAUUUCAACCAUCAAGCCCCCGGCUUGUGUUGGGGACCUGCGGCUGCCCGCAGGCCCUGAAAAACAGUGGCGGGCUCGCUGUCACACCGAGCGUAGUAGCAUACAUUCUCGCUCAGGGCGUGCUGCGGGUUCCGGCCGUUAAACGACCUUCAUAACCCAAGGUUGACCUCGGAUCAGGUAGGAAGACCCGCUGAACUUAAGC